rfam:Stegodyphus mimosarum contig72054, whole genome shotgun sequence.
GCCUUCGUGGUGUAUUGGCCAGCACGCUCGACUCGUAUUCGGGAGGUCUGUGGUUCGAUUCCCGGCGAGGGCA